rnacentral:rRNA from 1 species
GACGAACGCUGGCGGCGUGCUUAACACAUGCAAGUCGAACGGAAAGGCCUCUUUCGGGGGGUACUCGAGUGGCGAACGGGUGAGUAACACGUGAGUAACCUGCCCUUGACUUUGGGAUAACUUCAGGAAACUGGGGCUAAUACCGGAUAGGAGCUCCUGCUGCAUGGUGGGGGUUGGAAAGUUUCGGCGGUUGGGGAUGGACUCGCGGCUUAUCAGCUCGUUGGUGGGGUAGUGGCUUACCAAGGCUUUGACGGGUAGCCGGCCUGAGAGGGUGACCGGCAACAUUAGGGAUGAGAGACGGCCCAGACUCCUACGGGAGGCAGAAGUGGAGAAUAGUGCACAAUGGGUGGAAGCCUGAUGCAGCAACGCCGUGUGCGGGAUGACGGCCUUCGGGUUGUAAACCGCUUUCGCUCAUGACGAAGCUUUGUGUGACGGUAGUGGGUAAAGAAGCACCGGCUAACUACGUG